rnacentral:rRNA from 1 species
AGAGUUUGAUCCUGGCUCAGAUUGAACGCUGGCGGCAUGCUUUACACAUGCAAGUCGAACGGUAACAGGCCGCAAGGUGCUGACGAGUGGCGAACGGGUGAGUAAUGCAUCGGAACGUGCCCGGUCGUGGGGGAUAACACUUCGAAAGAAGUGCUAAUACCGCAUACGAUCUAUGGAUGAAAGCGGGGGACCGUAAGGCCUCGCGCGAUCGGAGCGGCCGAUGUCAGAUUAGGUAGUUGGUGGGGUAAAGGCUCACCAAGCCAACGAGCUGUAGCUGGGACUGAGAGGACGACCAGCCACACUGGGACUGAGACACGGCCCAGACGCCUACGGGAGGCAGCAGUGGGGAAUUUUGGACAAUGGGCGCAAGCCUGAGCCAGCAAUGCCGCGUGCAGGAAGAAGGCCUGCGGGUUGGAAACUGCUUUUGGACGGAACGAAAA